rnacentral:rRNA from 2 species
UUGGAGGGCAAGUCUGGUGCCAGCAGCCGCGGUAAUUCCAGCUCCAAUAGCGUAUAUUAAAGUUGUUGCAGUUAAAAAGCUCGCAGUUGAAUUUCGGGGUUAGUAGGUUGGUCAUGCCUCUGGUAUGUACUGGUCUCACUGAUUCCUCCUUCCUGAUGAACCGUAAUGCCAUUAAUUUGGUGUUGCGGGGAAUUUGGACUGUUACUUUGAAAAAAUUAGAGUGUUUAAAGCAAGCUAACGCUUGAAUACAUUAGCAUGGAAUAAUGAAAUAGGACGUUCGAUCCUAUUUUGUUGGUUUCUAGGAUUGACGUAAUGAUUAAUAGGGAUAGUUGGGGGCAUUAGUAUUCAAUUGUCAGAGGUGAAAUUCUUGGAUUUAUUGAAGACUAACUACUGCGAAAGCAUUUGCCAAGGAUGUUUUCAUUAAUCAAGAACGAAAGUUAGGGGAUCGAAGACGAUCAGAUACCGUCGUAGUCUUAACCAUAAACUAUGCCGACUAGGGAUCGGAUGAUGUUAAUUUUUUAAUGACUCAUUCGGCGCCUUACGGGAAAC